CGAGUGGCGGACGGGUGAGUAAUGUCUGGGAAACUGCCCGAUGGAGGGGGAUAACUACUGGAAACGGUAGCUAAUACCGCAUAACGUCGCAAGACCAAAGAGGGGGACCUUCGGGCCUCUUGCCAUCGGAUGUGCCCAGAUGGGAUUAGCUAGUAGGUGGGGUAACGGCUCACCUAGGCGACGAUCCCUAGCUGGUCUGAGGGGAUGACCAGCCACACUGGAACUGAGACACGGUCCAG
rnacentral:rRNA from 1 species